ACCGGCAAACGGGUGCGGAACACGUACGCAACCUUCCUUUAACUGGAGAAUAGCCCGGGGAAACCCGGAUUAAUACUCCGUAACAUUAUGAAGUGGCAUCACUUUAUAAUUAUAGCUCCGGCGGUUGAAGAUGGGCGUGGGUCUGAUUAGGUAGUUGGCGGGGUAACGGCCCACCAAGCCUACGAUCAGUAACAGGUGUGAGAGCACGACCAGUCACACGGGCACUGAGACACGGGCCCGACUCCUACGGGAGGCAGCAGUAAGGAAUAUUGGUCAAUGGACGCAAGUCUGAACCAGCCAUGCCGCGUGGAGGAUGAAGGUCCUCUGGAUUGUAAACUUCUUUUAUUUGGGAAGAAACCCCCGAUUUCUAUUGGGGUUGACGGUACCAGAUGAAUAAGCACCGGCUAACUCCGUGCCAGCAGCCGCGGUAAUACGGAGGGUGCAAGCGUUAUCCGGAUUCACUGGGUUUAAAGGGUGCGUAGGCGGGUUGGUAAGUCCGUGGUGAAAUCUCCAAGCUUAACUCGGAAACUGCCGUGGA
rnacentral:rRNA from 1 species